rnacentral:rRNA from 1 species
GACGAACGCUGGCGGCGUGCUUAACACAUGCAAGUCGAACGAUGAACCCGGAGCUUGCUCCGGCGGAUUAGUGGCGAACGGGUGAGUAACACGUGAGUAACCUGCCCUUGACUCUGGGAUAACUGCUAGAAAUGGUAGCUAAUACCGGAUACGACCCUCGGAGGCAUCGCCAGGGGGUGGAAAGAAUUUCGGUCAAGGAUGGACUCGCGGCCUAUCAGCUAGUUGGUGAGGUAACGGCUCACCAAGGCGACGACGGGUAGCCGGCCGGAGAGGGUGACCGGCCACACUGGGACUGAGACACGGCCCAGACUCCUACGGGAGGCAGCAGUGGGGAAUAUUGCACAAUGGGCGCAAGCCUGAUGCGGCAACGCCGCGUGAGGGAUGACGGCCUUCGGGUUGUAAACCUCUUUUAGUAGGGAAGAAGCGAAAGUGACGGUACCUGCAGAAAAAGCACCGGCUAACUACGUGCCAGCAGCCGCGGUAA